rnacentral:tRNA from 1 species
AUGGCUGAGUAAGCAUUAGACUGUAAAUCUAAAGACAGAGGUUUAAGCCCUCUUCUUACCA